AAUGAACGCUGGCGGUAGGCUUAACACAUGCAAGUCGGACGGUAGCAGGAAAUAAGUUUACUUAUUUUGCUGACGAGUGGCGGACGGGUGAGUAACGCGUGGGAAUCUACCCUAUAGUUGGGGACAACGUAUGGAAACGUACGCUAAUACCGAAUACGCUCUACGGAGUAAAGGAGCCCUCUUCAUGAAAGGUUUCGCUAUAGGAUGAGCCCGCGUAAGAUUAGCUAGUUGGUGAGGUAAUGGCUCACCAAGGCGACGAUCUUUAGCUGGUUUGAGAGGGUGAUCAGCCACACUGGGACUGAGACACGGCCCAGACUCCUACGGGAGGCAGCAGUGGGGAAUAUUGGACAAUGGACGAAAGUCUGAUCCAGCCAUACCGCGUGUGUGAAGAAGGCCUUCGGGUUGUAAAGCACUUUCAGUUGGGAGGAAGAUUAAGUAGUUAAUACCUGCUUAGUUUGACGUUACCUUCAGAAGAAGCACCGGCUAACUCUGU
rnacentral:rRNA from 1 species